GAUCAUGGCUCAGGACGAACGCUGGCGGCAUGCCUAACACAUGCAAGUCGAACGGGGGUAGCAAUACCCUAGUGGCGAACGGGUGAGUAACACAUAAGCAAUCUGCCCUUCACAGGGGGAUAACAGCGGGAAACUGCUGCUAAUACCGCAUAAGACCACAGUACCGCAUGGUACAGGGGUAAAAACGAAUCAGUGGUGAAGGAUGAGCUUAUGUCCCAUUAGCUAGUUGGUGAGAUAACAGCCCACCAAGGCGACGAUGGGUAGCCGACCUGAGAGGGUGAUCGGCCACGCUGGAACUGAGACACGGUCCAGACUCCUACGGGAGGCAGCAGUGGGGAAUAUUGGGCAAUGGAGGAAAAACCUCUUACCCAGCAAUGCCGCGUGAGUGAAGAAGGUCUUCGGAUUGUAAAGCUCUUUGAUUGGGGACGAAGAAAGUGACGGUACCCAAAGAACAAGCCCCGGCUAACUACGUGCCAGCAGCCGC
rnacentral:rRNA from 1 species